UUUUUUGUUUUUGAGUUCGUUACCAAUCCUGAUUCCAGCGCUAGAUACAUGGCCAAGUAUGCAAAAGCUACACACAAGUAGUAUUGAGAGGUUUUGCAUUUUUACAUAUAUAUUUGGAUUGUGUUUGGUAGAUGUUUAGAUCU
rnacentral:sRNA from 1 species